rnacentral:rRNA from 1 species
AAGUAUUAAAUUAAUGGGGGUUAAAUUUAAUAGAAUAAAUUUUAAAUAGAUAUUAAUUGAGUUAAAGUAUUUUCUAUAGAAAAAAUUUAUAAAUUUAUAGUUAAAUAGUAUUGUAAAAGAAAUUUGAAAUAAUUGAAAAUUUAUUAUUUUAAAAGUAAUUUUAAUUUAAUGUAUCUUGUGUAUCAGAGUUUAUUAAAAAUAAUUUUUAGGGGGAAAAUUCUCGAAUUAAAAAGAGUUAAAUAAUUAAUUAAAUUUAUUGUGUUAAAAAUAUUUUUAAUAAUUAUUUAGAAAUGAAAAGUUAUUCGUUUUUUAAGAUAUCUAGUUUUUUUAGAAAAAAAUUUAAUUUUAAAUUAAUUUAUUUUUAUAAUUAAAUAUUUAAUUAAAAAAGAAAUUAAUUUUAUAUUUUAAGGGAUAAGCUUUAAGAUAAAUACCUAAAAUGAUUUUGUAAAGUAAAAAAAAUUUUAUAAUUUAUAUUGUUAAUAAAAUUUAAUUUAUUAUAAAUAAUUUUAUUUUAAGAAAAAUUUAUUUUAAUGUUUAGAUUUUUAUAAAAAAAUAAUUUAUAAUUAGAAAAAUUUAAUUAUAAUGAUAAAAUUAGUAUAUAAUUAGUAAAAAGAAAUUUUUUUUUAAAAAAAGUAAUUUUAAGGAAUUCGGCAAAAAUUUAUAUUCGCCUGUUUAUCAAAAACAUGUCUUUUUGAUUAAUAAUUUAAAGUCUAAUCUGCCCACUGAUUAUAUAUUAAAGGGCUGCAGUAUUUUGACUGUACAAAGGUAGCAUAAUAAAUAGUCUUUUAAAUGGAGACUAGUAUGAAUGAUUGGACGAGAUAUAAGCUGUCUCAAUAUUAAAAAUUGAAUUUAAUUUUUUUAUCAAAAAGUUAAAAUAUAAUUAAAAGACGAGAAGACCCUAUAGAGUUUUAUAAAAAUAUUAAUUAUGAUUAAUAUUAUAAGUUUAUAAUAACAAUUAAUAUUUUUAUUUUGUUGGGGUGAUAGUAAAAUUAAAAAAACUUUUAUUUAUAAAACCAUAGAUAAAUGAAUUAAUUGAUCCAAAAUUUUUGAUUAUAAGAAAAAAUUACCUUAGGGAUAACAGCGUAAUUUUUUUUUUUAGUUCAAAUAAGAAAAAAAGUUUGCGACCUCGAUGUUGGAUUAAGAUAAAAUUUAAAUGCAAAAGUUUAAAAUUUUGAUCUGUUCGAUCAUUAAAAUCUUACAUGAUCUGAGUUCAAACCGGUGUGAGCCAGGUUGGUUUCUAUCUUUAAUAAAAAAAAAUAUUUUAGUACGAAAGGAUCAAAUAUUUAGAAUAAUUCUAUUAAUUUGAAUAUUAAUAAAUUAAUUUU